GUGAGGAAUAUUGGUCAAUGGGCGAGAGCCUGAACCAGCCAAGUCGCGUAAAGGAAGAAGGAUCUAUGGUUCGUAAACUUCUUUUGCAGGGGAAUAAAGUGCAGGACGUGUCCUGUUUUGUAUGUACCCUGAGAAUAAGGAUCGGCUAACUCCGUGCCAGCAGCCGCGGUAAUACGGAGGAUCCGAGCGUUAUCCGGAUUUAUUGGGUUUAAAGGGUGCGUAGGUGGUUUGAUAAGUCAGCGGUGAAAGUUUGCAGCUUAACUGUAAAAAUGCCGUUGAAACUGUCGGACUUGAGUGUAAAUGAGGUAGGCGGAAUGCGUGGUGUAGCGGUGAAAUGCAUAGAUAUCACGCAGAACUCCGAUUGCGAAGGCAGCUUACUAAGCUACAACUGACACUGAAGCACGAAAGCGUGGGGAUCAAACAGGAUUAGAUACCCCGGUAGUCC
rnacentral:rRNA from 1 species